rnacentral:rRNA from 1 species
GACGAACGCUGGCGGCGUGCUUAACACAUGCAAGUCGAACGGAAAGGCCCUGCUUUUGUGGGGUGCUCGAGUGGCGAACGGGUGAGUAACACGUGAGUAACCUGCCCUUGACUUUGGGAUAACUUCAGGAAACUGGGGCUAAUACCGGAUAGGAGCUCCUGCUGCAUGGUGGGGGUUGGAAAGUUUCGGCGGUUGGGGAUGGACUCGCGGCUUAUCAGCUUGUUGGUGGGGUAGUGGCUUACCAAGGCGUUGACGGGUAGCCGGCCUGAGAGGGUGACCGGCCACAAUGGGACUGAGAUACGGCCCAGACUCCUACGGGAGGCAGCAGUGGGGAAUAUUGCACAAUGGGCGGAAGCCUGAUGCAGCAACGCCGCGUGCGGGAUGACGGCCUUCGGGUUGUAAACCGCUUUCGCCUGUGACGAAGCGUGAGUGACGGUAAUGGGUAAAGAAGCUCCGGCUAACUACGUG